AGAGCGAGAGAAGGACACAGAAAGAGAAGAAGAGAAGAGGAAGGGGCAGAACGUACUCACGUCUUGUCUUGUCUUCUUUUCUUUUCACUUUCGAACCCUUCUUCUUCUUUUUUUCCUCCCUUUUUUUUUCU
rnacentral:ribozyme from 14 species